UAGGACUUCAAAACUUAUUGAGGAUCCUUCCUCUAGCGUCAAGUGUUGCUCCUGAUCUCUCUGCCUGAGGGUGGUUGCCGAGGUUGAUGUGGCCGAGGUGAAACCACUGCUGAAGCUUCGCCUGAACACCUGUAAAGAAGUUCUCAUUGGGGUGUUAUCCAGUGAAGACCCUCCGACGCUCAAGUUAGAAGAUGGAGAACAAUGAGAAGAGAGAGCGAGG
rnacentral:lncRNA from 1 species